AACGAACGCUGGCGGCAGGCCUAACACAUGCAAGUCGAGCGCCCCAGCGAUGGGGAGCGGCGGACGGGUGAGUAACGCGUGGGAACGUGCCUCUUGCUACGGAAUAGCCUCGGGAAACUGGGAGUAAUACCGUAUGUGCCCUACGGGGGAAAGAUUUAUCGGCAAGAGAUCGGCCCGCGUUGGAUUAGGUAGUUGGUGGGGUAAUGGCCUACCAAGCCGACGAUCCAUAGCUGGUUUGAGAGGAUGAUCAGCCACACUGGGACUGAGACACGGCCCAGACUCCUACGGGAGGCAGCAGUGGGGAAUCUUAGACAAUGGGCGCAAGCCUGAUCUAGCCAUGCCGCGUGAGCGAUGAAGGCCUUAGGGUUGUAAAGCUCUUUCAGUGGGGAAGAUAAUGACUGUACCCACAGAAGAAGCCCCGGCUAACUCCGUGCCAGCAGCCGCGGUAA
rnacentral:rRNA from 1 species